CGUGCCUUAUACAUGCAAGUCGAACGAGAAAGCAUCUUACCGGGAUGUGAGUAAAGUGGCGAACGGGUGAGUAACACGUAGGUAACCUGCCUGUAAGUUUGGGAUAACAGUGCCUAACGGCGUGCUAAUACCGAAUGAAGCACUGGGAUUAAUUUUCAGUGUUAAAGAUAUCCUUUGGUUAUCGCUUACAGAUGGGCCUGCGGCUCAUUAGCUAGUUGGUAGGGUAACGGCUUACCAAGGCAACGAUGGGUAGCCGGCCUGAGAGGGUGGUCGGCCACACUGGGACUGAGAUACGGCCCAGACUCCUACGGGAGGCAGCAGUAAGGAAUAUUGCGCAAUGGUCGCAAGACUGACGCAGCAACGCCGCGUGGAUGAUGAAGCUCUAUGGAGUGUAAAGUCCUGUUAGAAGGGAAGAACAGUACGGAGUCAAAGCUUCGUGCAUGACGGUACCUUCAGAGAAAGCCCCGGCUAACUCCGUGCCAGCAGCCGCGGUAAUACGGGGGGGGCAAGCGUUGUCCGGAAUUACUGGGCGUAAAGGGCGCGUAGGUGGAAUUGUAAGUUAGAGGUGAAAGCCAGCAGCUUAACUGCUGGUCUGCCUUUAAUACUG
rnacentral:rRNA from 1 species